rnacentral:misc_RNA from 1 species
GAUGAAGAACGUAGCGAAAUGCGAUACGUAAUGUGAAUUGCAGAAUUCAGUGAAUCAUCGAGUCUUUGAACGCACAUUGCGCCCCCUGGUAUUCCGGGGGGCAUGCCUGUCCGAGCGUCAUUGCUGCCCUCAAGCACGGCUUGUGUGUUGGGCCUCCGUCCUCCUCCCGGGGGACGGGCCCGAAAGGCAGCGGCGGCACCGCGUCCGGUCCUCGAGCGUAUGGGGCUUCGUCACCCGCUCUUGUAGGCCCGGCCGGCGCUUGCCGACACAUCAAUCUUUUUUCCAGGUUGACCUGGGAUCAGGUAGGGAUACCCGCUGAACUUAAGCAUAUCAAUAAGCGGAGGA